rnacentral:lncRNA from 1 species
AGAAACUGUGUGAACAAGGAAUUCUUUGUCACAUCUGUGCUUUGGUCAGUAAUAGACCAGCAAGCAAUUCAUCCAGUCAUCGUGGGCGUGGCUCCAGGAGGACUUCCUGCGUCCAUGGAAGGGAUCAUCCCUGGAGGCAUCCCAGUGACUCACAACCUCCCGACAGUGGCACAUACUUCCCAAGCGCCCUCUCCCAACCAGCCCACAAUCACGGGGACAAUCGAGAGCAACCCAACGAGAAAUAG